rnacentral:rRNA from 1 species
CCUACGGGAGGCAGCAGUGGGGGAUAUUGCACAAUGGGGGAAACCCUGAUGCAGCGACGCCGCGUGGGCGAAGAAGUAUUUCGGUAUGUAAAGCCCUAUCAGCAGGGAAGAAGAAAUGACGGUACCUGCGUAAGAAGCAACGGCUGAAUAAGUGCCAGCAGCCGCGGUAAUUCGAAUGGUGCAAGCGUUAUCCGGGUUUACUGGGUGUAAAGGGAGCGCAGGCGGCACGGCAAGCCUGAUGUGAAAGCCAGCGGCCCAAACGCGGGCCUGGAUUGGGAACAGCCGGGCUGGAGUGCCGGAGAGGUAGGCGGAAUGCCUGGUGUAGCGGUGAAAUGCGUAGAUAUUAGGAGGAACACCAGUGGCGAAGGCGGCCUACUGGACGGUGACUGACGCUGAGGCUCGAAAGCGUGGGGAGCAAACAGGAUUAGAUACCCUUGUAGUC